rnacentral:tRNA from 1 species
GGGCGAUUAGCUCAGUUGGUUAGAGCGCUACCCUUACAAGAUAGAGGUCGUAGGUUCGAAUCCUACAUCGCCCA